rnacentral:rRNA from 1 species
UACGGAGGAUUCAAGCGUUAUCCGGAUUUAUUGGGUUUAAAGGGUGCGUAGGUUGUUUUUUAAGUCAGCGGUAAAAUUGCGGGGCUCAACCCCGUCGAGCCGUUGAAACUGGCAGACUUGAGUGGGCGAGAAGUAUGCGGAAUGCGUGGUGUAGCGGUGAAAUGCAUAGAUAUCACGCAGAACUCCGAUUGCGAAGGCAGCAUACCGGCGCCCUACUGACGCUGAGGCACGAAAGCGUGGGUAUCGAACAGG